CGGGGGGAGCAAGCGUUGUUCGGAUUUACUGGGCGUAAAGGGCGCGUAGGCGGCCACGACAAGUCAGUUGUGAAAUCUCUGGGCUUAACUCAGAACGGUCAACUGAUACUGUCGGGCUAGAGUGCAGAAGGGGCAACUGGAAUUCUCGGUGUAGCGGUGAAAUGCGUAGAUAUCGAGAGGAACACCUGCGGCGAAGGCGGGUUGCUGGGCUGACACUGACGCUGAGGCGCGAAAGCUAGGGGAGCGAACGGGAUUAGAUACCCCGGUAGUCCUAGCCUUAAACGAUGAAUGCUUGGUGUCUCGGGUUUUAUAGUCCCGAGGUGCCGUCGCUAACGCAUUAAGCAUUCCGCCUGGGGAGUACGGUCGCAAGACUG
rnacentral:rRNA from 1 species